UACGAAGGGGGGCUAGCGUUGCUCGGAAUCACUGGGCGUAAAGCGCACGUAGGCGGCUUUUUAAGUCAGGGGUGAAAUCCUGGAGCUCAACUCCAGAACUGCCUUUGAUACUGGAGAGCUUGAGUCCGGAAGAGGUGAGUGGAACUCCGAGUGUAGAGGUGAAAUUCGUAGAUAUUCGGAAGAACACCAGUGGCGAAGGCGGCUCACUGGUCCGGUACUGACGCUGAGGUGCGAAAGCGUGGGGAGCAAACAGGG
rnacentral:rRNA from 1 species